rnacentral:rRNA from 1 species
CCCACGGGUGGCAGCAGUGAGGAAUAUUGGUCACUGGGCGCGAGCCUGAACCAGCCAAGUCGCGUGAGGGCAGACGGCCCUACGGGUUGUACACCUCUUUUGCCGGGGAGCAACGGGCGCCACGUGUGGCGCCACUGCGAGUACCCGGAGAAAAAGCAUCGGCUAACUCCGUGCCAGCCGCCGCGGUAAUACGGAGGAUGCGAGCGUUAUCCGGCUUUAUUGGGUUUAAAGGGUGCGUAGGCGGAGCGUUAAGUCAGUGGUCAAAUUGAGGGGCUCAACCCCUUCCCGCCAUUGAAACUGGCGCUCUUGAGUGGAAGAGAAGUAUGCGGAAUGCGUGGUGUAGCGGGGAAAUGCAUAGAGAUCACGCAGAACCCCGAUUGCGAAGGCAGCAUGCCGGCUUCCGACUGACGCUGAAGCACGAAAGCGUGGGGAUCGAACAGGAUUAGAUACCCUUGUAGUC